CUCCCAAAGUACACCCAUGCACGGGGACACCGGUCCUGGCUUCUCCUUUUGUGGUUGAAUGGAUAUCUCAUAGAGGAAUAAAAUAGCCACUGUUGCUGCAAAUAGCAUUUGAGAGCACUUAGGUGUAACCAACCCCAAUGGUUUCUCCUUGGUUUGGUUCAUUGCUGUGUUUAUAGGCACUGUACCCGAGGGGGAAACAAAAGCAAUUAGAGCCAGGAAGUGAUGGUGGAACGUUAUCAGGUAAGCCAGGGAGGUCAGAUCACUGGAAGCCUUAAAAUAGGGUUUGGAGAUGGCUGCCUCUACGUUUCCUUCACUUACUGUCCCCCUCAGAGUGGCUGCACUCUGCAGUGCACGGGGCCAGAGGUUGCUGGUUGUGUCUCACCCCAAUUCAUCAAUCCCAAUUUAUGUCGGGCUGACCAUCCUGAAGGCCAUAACAGCGAAGAACUGAAGCUGUAUCAGUGCAUACUGCUGUGGCAGAGACAGGUUUUAAUUUCUUUUUUGACUUCUAGCAGAAGGCAAAGGGAGCAGUAAGAUGGAGUCUGUGCUGCAAGUUCAGAGAAGGAAGGAAAUUAGAAUCACAGAGUCACCAAGGUUGGGAAGGACCUCCGAGAUCUUCCAGCCCAACCAUCCACCUACCACCCACGUGGGCAUGCAGUAAACAGCUCUUAGAAAACACCCUUAUCUGUGAACGUUGAGAGAAAGCCAAGCAAUGGACCCAACGGUUCUUCCAUCAGUGCUCUUGAAAUAAUGCCUCUGUUGCUCUUGGUUGAUGGCAUGUUGUACCCAUUGAGGGCAGGUGCAGUCAUACAAGGAGGUUCUGGUUGCCUGCUGCCUUGGGCCUGGUGCCUUUUUGUUUGAUUUCAGCUACGUUGGCAGGAAAAUGAAGUAGGCAUAAAGCAUUGCUGCUGGAGGGAAGAGGUGGGAGCCGUGCUUGCAGAGUGGGGAUGGAGGAAGGAGAGAGCUGUGUUGUGAGCAGCAGUGAUGGGAAGGGUUUAAAAGGUCAGUGGUGCGUCAGCAAUGCUGGAGUUGGUGAUACAGUGAUAGAUAAUGGUGAUAUAAAGCAAACAACAAACUGACAAAUGCAUUUCUUUUAGAUUUAUGAGUAAGGAAAUAGAGAACAAGUCUGCAUUUGGUGCUUGUGACUUUCCUGCAGGAAGGUUGGGUAUGAUUUCCACUUGAACAUCUUGAAAUAGCUCCUGGCUGAGCUGGAGAGGAGCAGAAGCAGCAUAAAAAUAAUCUGAGGAUCCAAGAAAACACAGCAAAGGAAACUGGUUGGUUUCCAGAAAGCACCGGGCUGCAGUAACAUCACAGAGAGAAAGCAGCCAGCACUGAGUGUGUCCUCUCAUCAGCCUGAGGAAGGCACACCUCGCAUCACUGUCCUGCAGGGAAAUCAGGCAGCUCAGUGUUUACCUCUGGCUGUUGUGCCCUCGGAAAACAAUUCAGAGGAACUUGUAGGGAUGGAGUCUGAAUCGCAGCAGUGGAAGUGAUGCAACGGGGACACUGCGAAGCACGUGAGCGACGAGGCAAAGGCUCUGUGUGAACCUGAUUGGAGUGAUAUUUGAAGUGAUCUAAGAAUACUUCAGCUGUAUUGUCAAGGGAGUCAGCCCUAAAUAAAUUAUAGGGAAGAUGA